rnacentral:lncRNA from 1 species
AAAGAUGAAGUAUUGUAUAGGAAGCAACUCUCUAGGGUGAGAAACAUGAAAGCAUCUGUCUGCUUAAUGGCUUGAAUCCUGUCUAAGCACUCAAGCCCACCCUUCUAUCAGCAUCCACACAGGCAGUCUCUUGCAUCCUGCACUCAACCUGGUUCUUUUCUUGCUUUGCAGUUUAGAAAUGGAGCCUGAAACACUGAUUUCAGACAUCCCACUGCAAGAAUUUGGACCAUGUUGCAAAAUGGAUCCCCUGUUUCCAAGCGUUGCUGAUUACUUUUAACUUCAAGACUGAAAAAUAUCUUCAAGCUAGGGAAUCUGAGGGAAGUUGUGAGCUAGGAACAUCUAUUGGUUUUUGGCAGUAUCCAGUGUUGCUAAGGAUGAUUUAAUUCCUACUACCAGUCCUAUUCCCAGAGGUAGCUUCUCCAAGGUGGCUCCUGACAUAGGAAAUGAAACAGAGAGAACAAAGAAACUCAAAUAAACUCUUUGCAGGUGGAAAAUACUGUGACUGCUUGCCUGGGACUGAAACAAUCCAUUUGAAUUAUCAGAAAGGAUAAUAAUCUUGCAGUAGAGGUCAAGUAACAGCAGAGCCAGGAACUGCAGCUAAUGGAGUUGGAACUUUUCAACCUCAAAUUCCAGAGCUAAGCAAGUACAAACAGAAUUCUGCAGCAGAAGAGGAGCACAGGGACGUGUCGCCUCCACUCCCCUUCCAGCAAACUCUUCUGAGACCAAUUCUCCCUCAAAGCUGUCCUGGUGAUCACACAGCAGAAAAAUAAUUCCCCAACUGUUGGACCAGGAUAUAGUCUGAAAACUGUUUUCUUAUAUUAUAGAUUGAAAUAGAGAUCUUUUCCAG